rnacentral:rRNA from 1 species
CCUACGGGUGGCUGCAGUGAGGGAUAUUGGGCAAUGGGCGCAAGCCUGACCCAGCGACGCCGCGUGGAGGAGAAGGGCUUCGGCUCGUAAACUCCUUUUCCCAGGGACGAGAACAGGACGGUACCUGGGGAAUAAGUCUCGGCUAACUACGUGCCCGCAGCCGCGGUAAUACGUAGGAGGCAAGCGUUAUCCGGAAUUACUGGGCGUAAAGGGCGUCUAGGUGGCAGCCCAAGCGGGGUGUGAAAGCUCCUGGCUUAACUGGGAGAGUGCGCUCCGAACUGGGCAGCUAGAGGGCAGGCGACGGAGGUGGAAUACCCGGUGGAGUGGUGAAAUGCGUAGAGAUCGGGUGGAACACCAGUGGCGAAGGCGGCCUUCGAGCCUGUGCCUGACACUGAAGCGCGAGAGCGUGGGGAGCAAACGGGAUUAGAUACCCGAGUAGUC